rnacentral:lncRNA from 1 species
GAGUUAAUUCUAUUUGAGGAUAUUUUUAUCUAUAUCAAGACAGAAAUCUAAGCAUUUAUUGUUUUGUAUGAAUUCGAAAAAAUUGUUUUGUAUGAACUAGAAAUAUUUGGCCAAACAUGUUGCUUGUAUUGGAGAGAGCGAGAAGAGUUUGGGACGAUGAGUAUGUUAGCUAAGAAAAUUGAAUACAAUUAAAACUCCCUGAAUCAAUACUCAAUUAUUUGUUUGGAAUGUGAAAUAGUGAAAAUGAAUGUAACGCAUAGUAGCAAACCAAAUAGCUAAAAACGAUAUAAUACUUGUUACUUAUUUUUACUUGUAAUUAUCUUAAUUUUACUAUUUGGUAUUCGAUUUAUGACGAUGAGUAUUUAAAAAAUCAAGACGGAUACGAAAUAAGUAACAUGUAUAAAACGAGUAACAAGUGCCUAG